ensembl:lncRNA
CUCAGCUAACGUCCCAGAAACGUCGCGGGCACGUCCUCAAAAGACGUCGCUAGUUAGUCCCAUUGGGGACGUUGUAGCGACGUGAUCAGCUGGUCUCCAGAUAACUUUUCAUAUUAUUCCACUACAUGUAUUAUUAUUAAGAUACCAUUUGAAUAGCCUAUUAUUUGAGAAAUAUACUAAAUUCAUCAAGCAUUUUAAAAGAUGGCAUGAAUUAUUAUUAUAUUUUUAGAUAUAUAAAACAUUUAUCAAAUUAACGACAAAACAAAUAACAAAUAGUUUGCUUAGCAAAUGGUGAUAAUGUUUGUUAAUGACAGAGAUUUAUUGAAAGAGGGCACGUGACAAAUUAACAUUUAAACUAGCAGCGCGCGUCACUUUCUGAGUACUGUAACGUUAAGUGCGCGUGCCCGUCAUUAACGGUCAACUUCCAGCGGACGGACACGGAGGAAAAGGUCCUGACUGCCACCAGUUGAGUCAAUGAUUCAGUGGAGAGACAGUCUGGACAGCAUUAACAAGACAACUAUUACAAAUAGAGACGGGUUUCAAAAACUGACACAACCACAUAUCAUCCAAAUCAUCUCCAAGUGGAUGGCAGCACGGAUCCAGGAUCAAGAGAUCAUUCUUCAUGAAGACUGUUCCAUAGGAAGCAGUGAAUCCUGGGUCAUCCUGACCAUUCUGCUGUCCUGGACGUGAGGAUAUGCUGAAACUGCGUAUCCAGAUAUACAAACAGCCUUCCUGGACCCACACGACUAAAGGCUCCGGAGGAGAGACAGGGAAAGAUGAAAAAUAAGGAAGUCUGGGAACGACUGAAGAAGACAGCAGUGAGGAAAGGAAGUAAUCAUCAGAAUCUCAGAGAAGGAUAUUGACAGUGCAGGCUCAGGAUGAAGAAGAGGAGGAAGAACACGUUUAACAAUUUUCUCAUACCUUUGCCAUGUGUUAUAAUAAAAACAAUAAACCUGACUACAAUAAUAUGCUAAAUGUUAUUAAAAGAUUCCAGUUUGCAAGAAAUCUGGAGUCUGUGACUCUGCACUAGAGGAACUCUUUCCUGAAGAAGAUCAGGUGCUGAGAAGGAGCCUUGUUCUACAGCAAAACACUGCAUCAAGCCUCCUGUCCUUCCCUCAGAAGAGCCUGUCUUCUGCUGCUGGGGUAAUGGUAGGAGCACAUCAGGACCCAGACUAAAG